AACUCUAUCAAUGAAGUCAACGGCUCACGAUGAAAGCUGUAGGAACAGGUCUUCCGCUUCGGCUCUGGGACUGUUGCCAUCUCUAUCAGUGAACAAGCUCUGGAAUGUACCUGAGAAAUGAUAUGCAUGCAGAGAUUAGUUUUUUUUUCUUUUUUUUUCCUUGUUUCUCUUUUUUUUCAUUCACUCAUUUUUUAUUGCGUUUCUUUUGAAAAAUAAAUAUGCUAUGAUGCACAUGAUGCAGACACAACUGGCUGGCC
rnacentral:lncRNA from 1 species